rnacentral:lncRNA from 1 species
GGACUCGGUUCGACCCCGUCUGGUGACCGGCGACGCUGGGCUGGGUUCGGCGCAGGGGGUCGGGAAGCACAAAGAAGUUAAGUACUUGCCCAAGUUCACACCAAGAUUUGAACCCAGGUAGUCUUACUUCAGAGACUACGUUUUUAUCCGUGGCCAUUGCCAACCUCAUGCUCAUUCAUUUGUAAUUUGCCUUGCUACCAGUGUUUCUCUACCAUAAAAAUAUUAUGAGCCUCCAGCCAAACCCAACCUGAAGCCACCCAGCAAGGAGCCUGGGAGAGAGAGUCUAUGGGAGUUGCGUGAAGUAGAGAAAGGACUCAGUAUCUCUACAAAAAGAAGCCCCUUCUGAAAAUAAAGGACAUACAAAAAGGCAUUUUACUAAACAAACACAAAUGCCAUUGCACCAUUGUGAUUCUUCCUUGGAAACUUGUAUUUGUUAGGUGCACUCUCUUGAAAAUGGCUUUAAAGAGGGUCACACAUAAGCCCAAGUAGUUCAACUGGGGCUUAGUUCUUGGCAUGAUUAGCAAAAUAGGUUUUCCAACACAUUUAUUUUGGGGAUUUUUUUUUCCCCUGUGAGUCUUUAAUUUGGCUGCCGGUCCCUUCACUAAUUUUAUUGUUCUGUGUUGUUGUUGUUUUUUCUCAUUGAGGAUGUUAUUGGAUAAAACUUAUAGGCACAUUACUCAGCCUGGCAAGUGUGGGGAUAAUGACCAUUUCCUGACACUCACAUUUUAAGGAGAUUUGCUUGUUUUCCUAUUUCAUCAACUGCUCUGACAUUCUUCCUAUGUGUUGCCAUCAUCUAAGAUGUUGCUAACAUCGAAGAAGGACUUCAUUCUAAAACAUGAUAUUUCAUCCAGACACUCUCUUGGUGUAGCUAUGUAAGUAGAACUUUAGGGACUUUGCCUUGGUAUCACUCUUGAAAGAAGGGGAAACCUCCUACCUUUGUCCCCCCUUACCAUUUUAGAUCCCCCACCCCCCACAACUUUCUGGUAGAAACUUCCUCUUCUGAGGUUAAAAUUAAAAAACCCUUAUGUAUUGUCCUUCUGAAUCCAGGUUCAUUUGACAGAUUGUAGUUUAGCACAACACUUAGAAUAAGUAUGAAUAUAAAUUAUUUUCUCCCUAUAGAGCAGAUCCUCUGAAUAUAUCACCUUUCAGUGGCUUCACCUUGCCCUUCAGACUCCCUCAGCCAAACUAGUCUUGCCCUACCUUUUGGCUCAAAGGAUUGGCCAUUUUUCACUCUUCUCCAAGUCUACAUGCCUACAGUCUUUUCUUUCCAUGCUUAGUUAAGUGCUGCUUUUCCAAAAAGCCUCUUAAAAUCCCAGUCUUCUUUGAGUCCUCAUCACACUUGCCUCCCAACCAAACAUUUCCAGAUCUAGGUCCUUUUUCUCCACCACUUUCUGUAGCAGGGAGGCCCUAUGUGCCAGGACCGUACAUUUGGACACUGUAUUUACCUCCUUCCUAACUGGUUUCCCUCUCUCCUAUCUCUCCUUCACACUCUUUGGUGCAGCAUCCCUAAGCUCUGUGUUUAUUGGCACAUUCCCAUACUCAAUAACUUCUUUCAUUGCUUACAAAAUCAAUUCUAAACUUAGAAUGACAUGCAAAAACACUCUUUGCUUUGUCCCUUUGCUCUUGUUCUUUCCUAUCAAAAUUUUGCUCAUUCUUCAUUAUCCCACAUCUCUAUGUAAAUUUAAAUGUAGUUGUUUAUGUGUUUGCCUUUCCCAUUAAGUAGUAUCUCCUUGAGGGUAAGGACUUUGUAUUCUCAAAAUGGCUAGGACAGUACCUGGCACACAGAAAUGCUUCACGAGGUUAGAGACUACGUCUCAUUUGCCUUUGUGGUCCAGGCACUCACACCUAGCUCGAUAAACAUGUGUUGAAUUAUGACUGAAAGAAAAACAAUAUAUUUCCAUGAAGUUCCUCUUUGAAGAAGAAGCAGUAUGGAAUCAAAUGGAUGGUUAAAAUGUUGAAUUUUCUGUUGUCUUCUAUUGACCUUGGGUUUAUCACUAUUCUAUGGAUCUCAGUUUUUUUGCUUUCAUAAGAAGUUAAGUCUUAGGUCUGAUUGUGUGUGUAUGCAAGAGAGAGAGAGAAAGAGAGACAGAGAGAGACAGAGAGAGAGAGAGGGAAUUCCACUGGUAUUUCCUUGGGGAAAGAGAAAUAAUCUUCCUAACAAUUAGGCUUCAUUUAUAUAAAUUACCACAGGGCGUUGCCAAGGCCAAGAAAGUUGAAGUUUAGAGUUCAAAGAGGUUCUUUUAUCUUCUGAAGUUGGAAGAGGCAUUGAUUUACAUUUGCAGCCUUGACUUGUCUCCAUAAUCUCAGGACCUAAUGAUGAUAAAUCACAUCAAACUCAUCCUCUGUGGUUUACAGAGUACCUUUGUUUGCCAGCUUUCUUUCUUUCUUUCUUUCUUUCUUUCUUUCUUUCUUUCUUUCUUUCUUUCUUUCUUUCUUUCUUUCUCUCUGUUUUUCUUUUUUACUUUGCUACAGAUAUUUUCAAAGCACUUUCAAAUUUCAAAUCAUUUUGUUGGAGUUUCACAAACACCUUAUGAAGUAGCUUGAGCAGAUAUAGUUAUGAUCAUUUUCAAUUUCACUUUGGCUUUAGAAUUAGUCUUUUAAUUUAAAAAAAUCUUAUUAUAAUGAAAAUAUUCUAGCCAGCCUGAGUUUGGAAUCCUAGUUUAUUCCUUAUUAGGAGAAUGACCUGCAGCAGAUCACUUAAUCUCUCUGAACCCAAGUCUCUCUUCAUAAAAUGGCGUUAACAGCAGUACCUACUACACAGGUCUGUUGGGAGAAUUGCUCCUGGAACUUUUUUUGCUCUUGUUUUACUUUCUUCUUGGAGUUUCCGUUAAGCAGAAACUCAAAGCUAAGUCACUUUAAAGAGUUGACUCUCUUUAUGCCAAUUUCAACAUUCACACAGGCUUUGUCUUUGGUCAUUUUUAUAUUGCUACCUGCACCCUAGGUCACUCUCUAAAUAGGCAGCAGUUCAAAGAGGUCCUUCUACUUUUUCUAUAGAUCAUGAUUUCCUUAAGGACACCGAAUAUUUCUUGCCUGACAGUUUCCUGCCCUUGUCCAAGUUCAGUCUUGGUGCAUUCUUUAUCCAAAUAUUAUUCCUAAAGAACAUUGAUUAAAAGGUCUUUUUUAGAAGCCAUUAGGAUUAUGUAGAACAAAGAUGAAAGUGUUACUAUCACAGUCAUUAUUGACUUAUGAUAAGAUUCUGUCUUUCCUACUUGCAACUCAAAAUGCAGCCCUUAGACAAGUAGUGGCAACAUCACUUGGGCGUUUAUUGGAAAUACAGAAUCUCCACCUGGCCUCGGAUCUACUGAAUCAUAAUCUCCAAACUGCAUUUUAGCAAGUUUCCCAGGGAAAUCCAUACACAUCAAAGUUUGGAAAACACUGCUCUAAAACAUGCUCUUAUCCAACCCAGUGAUAAGCACACCUGAAGGUACAGUGCUCACCAGAUUUCCCAUACUGGGUGGUAUUAACUCACCUGAUUCUUGAUCUUAUCUCAUUUUGUUCUGUUUCAAUACCUGCUCACUUCUCUGCAUUUCUACCCACUCAAAUUUAACUUUGGGGUGCUCGACUCAUAUUCUUUGCUUCCAGCUUACCAAUAAGCAACCCCCCUUUUGGCAUGGUUUUCCUUAAGAUUGCUACUCCUAAAUCUACCACAUCUAUUUGUUCUUAUGAGCUACUCUCAUUAGGCAAUUCCUUAGGCCUUCCUCACUUAGACUUUAGUCAACAGGACCUUUCAAAAGGCAUCUAUUAAGAAUUAUUUGUGUGUGUUCAUGCAGAACAAAUGCAGCCAGAUAUACUGAGUCCCACAGGAAAAGUGCAGACAUUAGUGAGACAGUUUAUGAAUAUAGUAAUAGUUGUUUCAAGAGAUAGUGGCUACUCUGUACCAACUAGACUACUGACUAGACUUUCUAAAAUACAGAUGCUACACUUGCCAUACAGAAUUUUUAUUUAAAAGGACUUAUUUGAUUGAUACUCUUAUACUGAAUUUUGAACAUUCAAUUCUGUUUUACUUAAAUCAAAUUGCUGGAAGAAAUACAUGAUUUUUAAAGAUUUUAUUCUGGAGGAAUAAGGGAGUUUUUGGACUUCUUCUACAUUGAGAUUUUUUGUGUGCACAGCAAAAUACCAAAAGGAAAUAAAUUCAGUGCAAAGAAAUGAGGAGCAUAAUGACCUUGGAUGUUUUCACCGUAGUUUUUGAAAUAUUCUUCCACCCUUUUGUAAGGUUUCAAAGUGAAAUAACACCCUUGUCAAAAUGUCUAAGCACUCCAAUAAUAGGUGAUGGAGAAAUGGUGACAGAGAGAAAACAGGUGUUUUAGUUCACUAAUAUAGCAUCCAGGCAAAGAUUUCCUCUGUUACCUACCUCACAAGAGUAAAUACUUUAGAACUACAGUCUUGAUGAGUAAAAAAUGACUGUGAAUAAUGCCCACUUUCUAUGAAGGAGAAUUUUAACUUUAAUACUAUUUAAAAUGAGAUUUCACUUAUUUUAACAUUCUCUUUGUUGGCAGGGAAAAAAAAAACGAUUAAUGACUAUUCUAUGUUAACAUGUGCUAAUGAGCUUAGAAAUGUUUUCUUCCAUCUAAUUUGGAAACCUCAACAUAUAUAAGAAAAAAGAUUUAUAUUAAUAAUGGUUUAUAUUUCUGUCAUUUACUUAGAGUUAGAUGAUAUAAAGUGAUCUGGUACUCCUAUCACACCUUAAAGAUUUCUUGUUCCUUUCCCUCAGUGCAAUGAUAAUGUAAUUAUAUUAGAUAAACAGAGUAAGAUAAUGACCAAAGAAAUAUUUGCACACUCCACUUUGUCAUACAAUGUUGUCCUGUAAAACUGGAUGCAUUGUCUAAUGGAGACAUUUAAACAAAUGCCUUAUUAGCUGAUGACGGCUUAAUAUAUAAACAGGGUAGGAGUUGCUUUGUGGACACCUGUUGCCGUUUCUUGCCCUAGAGAAGUGAGUGGUGUGGAGUUUUCCCACCAAGGCACUCUAAUGAGGAGUUACUUUUUGCUCAGGGCAGCCUGUCCUAUCAUCCCUGAAGUCAGCCCCACAACUCCUCUACGUCAGUUGCACUGUCUCCUUGAUGUGCGCAGUCUGGUGGCAUGGCCUGAAAGCCCACGUUCUAGCUGGGACUUUUAUUCAUUUGCCCUGGUGAGAGGGCUCACAUCUUGUGCACCAGACUUUCAAUAUGCUGCUUUAAAGAAGCCAGUUCAUAUUCUUCUUUAAAAAUCUUGAUAUAUUUGACUCCUAGAGUUUUCUGGAUUAUAAGAUUAAGGUACGGGUUAGAACUCUGUUGUCCAAUAUGGUAUAACCUCUAGCCACAGAAGGCAAUUGAGGUCUUGAUGUGUGACCAUUCCCAAUUGAGAUGUGCUGUUAAGGAAAAAUGCACACUGGAUUUCAAAGACUUAGGAGUAAAAAAAAGAAGAAUGCAAAUAUUUUAUUAAUAAUUUCUUUAUGUUGAUUAAUGUUGAAAUGAUAUUUCAGUUAUAUUGAGUGUCAUAGUUCACUCAGCCUGCUACAACAAAAUGCUGUAGCCUGGGUAGUUUGUAAACAACAGAAAUUAUUUUCACAGUUUUGGAGGCUGGGAAGUCCAAAAUCAAAGUGCCAGUAGAUUCCAUAUCUGGUGAGAAUUCACUUCCUGGUUCAUAGACUGCUAUCUUUUCACCAUAACCUCACAUGGCAGAAAAAAAGUUGUUAUUAAUUUAUAAUUUUGUUAAAUUAUAUUCAGAAAUGCAGCUUGUAAAACUCUGGUUUUGGAACUUUGAAAUUUUCUCCAUAUUCCUAUUAUAUGAUAAAUUAUUAUAAAUAGACUAUAGGUAUUGGAAAAGGAAAGAUUUUCUGUUUAUACAGUAUUGUACAAUUUUAUAAAAUUGUAUAUUAAAUCAAUUUUAAAAAUAAAUUAAUCAGUACCUUUAUAGACUUGAUUUCAUUUAUUUUAUCUGUCAAAGACAGAUGUGUUAGCAGUUCUGAAUAUAAUCACAUUUCUGUCAUUUUGCUCAUUGUAUUUCUAAUAAUUUUUGCUUUACAUGUGUUAAUGCAGUAUUAUCUGACAUAUAAAUGUUCAAGACAAUUAUAUUUUCAUUGUAAAUUGAACCAUUUACCAAUAUAAAAUGAUAGUUUCCCGU